CCCACCUCACAACUUGCAGGAUUUAAAGGAUCUGCUACUAAUGUCUUGGUGCCAAAUACCCAUUCCGUGAUGUUGUGGAGUCCAUACUUCGAUGCAUCAGAGCUGUUUUAGCAGCGUGAUGGGGAUCUACACAAUAUUAGGAAGGUGGUUUUAAUGUUGUGGAUAAUCAUUGUGCAUAGAGUCAGUGUGUUUGAAUGUAAAGGUUUGUGUUAAAAAAGGAUCUCUGUGCUUGGAUGCAGAGGUGGAUGAUGGAUGUAGAGUCUGGUGAUGUGUGGAGAGAAUCAAUGUGCAUAAAUACAGGGGCAUAUGUGUGCAUAGAGAGAAUUUAGGGACAUAAGUAUCUGGACGGUCAGUGUGCAUGAAUGCAGGGGUGUGUUUGUUAAAUCUAAGGGAAUGUAUGUGGGUAGGACCCUUAAAUAAAGUUCA